rnacentral:rRNA from 1 species
GGCGGACUGCUCAGUAACACGUGGAUAACGUGCCCUUAAGAGGAGGAUAAUCUCGGGAAACUGAGGAUAAUACUCCAUAGUUCAUGGAAUCUGGAAUGAUCCAUGGAUGAAAGUUCCGGCGCUUAAGGAUCGGUCUGCGGCCUAUCAGGUCGUAGUGGGUGUAACGUACCUACUAGCCUAUGACGGGUAUGGGCCUUGAGAGAGGGAGCCCAGAGUUGGAUUCUGAGACACGAAUCCAGGCCCUACGGGGCGCAGCAGUCGCGAAAACUUCACAAUGGGGGCAACCCCGAUGAGGGAAUUCCUAAUGCUAGCACAUUUGUGUUAGCUUUUCUUUAGCGUAGAUAACUAGAGGAAUAAGGGCUGGGAAAGACGGGUGCCAGCCGCCGCGGUAAUACCUGCAGCCCAAGUGGUGGUCGAGUUUAUUGAGUCUAAAACGUUCGUAGCCGGUUCGGUAAAUCUUUGGGUAAAUCGGGGGGCUUAACCUUCCGACUUCCGAGGAGACUGCCGAACUUGGGACCGGGAGAGGCUAGAGGUACUUCUGGGGUAGGGGUAAAAUCCUGUAAUCCUAGAAGGACCACCGGUGGCGAAGGCGUCUAGGUA